AGCGAACGCUGGCGGCGUGCUUAACACAUGCAAGUCGAGUGCGCAGUUUUCUGUAGCAAUACAGGGAAUGGGCGCACGGCGCACGGGUGAGUAACACGUGGGCAACCUGCCCUCCAAAAGGGGAUAACCCGCCGAAAGGCGGGCUAAUACCGUAUGACAUUGCGAUUGCCUCGGCGAUUGCAAUCAAAGGCCGCAAGGCCGUUGGGGGAGGGGCCCGCGCCCGAUUAGCUAGUUGGCGAGGUAACGGCUCACCAAGGCUUUGAUCGGUAG
rnacentral:rRNA from 1 species